UACAGAGGAUGCAAGCGUUAUCCGGAAUGAUUGGGCGUAAAGCAUCUGUAGGUGGCUUUUUAAGUCCGCCGUCAAAUCCCAGGGCUCAACCCUGGACAAGCGGUGGAAACUAUCAAGCUGGAGUACGGUAGGGGAAAAGGGAAUUUGUGGUGGAGUAGUGAAAUGCGUAGAGAUCGGAAAGAACACCAACGGUGAAAGCACUAUGCUGGGCCGACACUAACACUGAGAGACGAAAGCUAGGGGAGCAAAUGGG
rnacentral:rRNA from 1 species